CCUCGUUUCAAAUCCUCAUCUAGAUUUUUUUUUCAAAUCCUCAUCUAGAUUGUCAUCUCUUUUAAAGACAACUUCAUCUCUCUUCUCUUUAUUCUCAUCUCACUCAUCUGCUUCAUCAUUUUUUUAGUCUUUGAUUAUCAUUUGCUGACUUCAUACUCUUCUCCGUUUUUAGAUUGCAUGAUUCGAUCCUCUUCCUUAUGGUUGAUCCCCAGAUCUACACUUCCCAACUCAUGAGAUAUCCCUUAAGUCCCAUAUUUCACCCAGAUCUACUUGAUUGUCCUCAUCAUUCUCUUCUUCUUCUUAUUUAAUUGCUCAAAGUGAAGUCGUCCGAGACUUACCUGAAGCUCAAGAAGAGAGACAACGACAACGAGAUCUGGAUCGGCAAGACAUCGAUUCGGCAUAGAAGGCCAAGAUGAAAAAUUGCAUGAUGCUGGCACUGCAUUUCCUAAUAUAGGCUUCAAUAACAUCAAAUCAAUGAUUUACCAGACCAAGGAAAUAAUGAGGUAAUACUUCAUUGAACCACUUUAGAGAUUAUCAAAAUUAUUUACGCAUUAGAUAGUGAUGAUAAAUGAGUAGUGCUGAUAAUCACUUAUAAUAAUCCACUUCCUUUUAUCUUAAAGAUUGAUGGUAAGAUUGGUUGGGUUGAUGUUGUUGGUAGUGUCAUUAUGCUAUGGUUGUGGUGUCAUGUCCAGGGACUAUAGGUUUAAAGUCGAUGUUUUCUUGUUGUCAAUAUAAUAGGAGGUUGAAUGUGCAUAUAUAUUGGCGGUUUUGGCAAAUAAUGUUUGAAAGUGUUGUUUCUUUUU